AGUUUUGCACAGUCGCAGUAUCGUAGCCCAUGAGGUUUAUUUAUCUGAGGCGCCAUUAUUGCUAAUUGAAAACUUUUCCCAACUUAUUAGAAAUAUAGUUAUCUUUUGUGUGUGUUUGUGUGAUGUAGAUCUCCAA
ensembl:snRNA U4 U4 spliceosomal RNA